UAUAUCAACCCAUCGUCCCUCUCUUCUUCUUCCAAAACUCAACCAUUUCAAAACCCUAAAUUAGAAGAACAGAGAAGCAGCGACGGUUCCUAUCCUCAGCUCGUCGCCGCCUCCGGCGAAUUCGCCACCGCCGUUUUCUCCUCCGGCGAGCUCUCUCUCUCCUUCAAGUUCUCUCUCUUCGUCGAGCCCUCUCUGUCGAGCUCGCCCUCUUUCUUCGGAGAUCGCAGCGCUGCCAUCGCUGAGCAAGCGUUGAGGAGCUCCUAGCGCUGCGCGUGCUCUCUCCGGCUCGCGUGGGGAAGCUCCGAAGUCCGCCAUCUCACACCGUCGGCCUCGGCGAGCAGAACCGCCGUCUGCCUGCGCCAUCGGCCCCCGCUCGUCGCCGGCAGCUCUACCAGAUACUCCUCACUCCAAAGCUAAGUCUCCUUCCCCCUUCCCCUCUGAUUCCAUUUCUUUGAGCUAUGGCAGCAGCUUGGUGAUUGUUGGAAUAGGCUGCCACAUUUGGAGCAUGGUGAGGGUGGAAUCGAGAAGGAUGGGGAGAGAAGAGAAGAUCUUGAACUGCAGCUCCCUUGAUCAAAGCAACUUAGUUUUUUUUUUUUUUUAUCUUGAGAUUAGCUACAACAAUUUUCGUAGAGUAGAACUAGCCACCAUUAUUUUUUUUCCACUUUGAGAAGGGUCUCCCAUGUGCUUGAAUCCAAUUUGUUGUACUUUAGUAUACACAUGUGCAUUUCCUCACUUUUCUAAUAAAAGUAUUUUCUCUA